UAACUCAUAACCUUUCAAUUUUCUUGGUGGUGAUAUAUUCUACUUUACCUCAGUUCUCUCUCUCCAAUUCUGUCUUCUGAGGAGGUAGUUUAGUGUCAUAAUUGUGGAAUGUAGCUUUACUCAUCUUUCAUGUGAAGCCCCUUCAUAUGGUUUGCUACAACCUAUUGAAUAGUCCCCAAAAUUCAUUCUCUAAGGAUACAAAUACAUUUACUUUUCCCAAUUAAUGCCCUUCAGCCUAUUGGGGGUGUCUUCAAUUACAGCACUUGGAUGAAAAAAAGGGUAGAAAGGUUUGGUAGUAGAAUUCACACUCACACACACUUUGCCAUAAAGAAUCUUUUCUUUCUUUUUCUUUCCCAAGUUCGUAGUAGCAAAUCAGGAUCUGCUGCUUCACUGUUUCUUCACCCUUUGUCUUCUACCUUCUGGAAUUUUCUAUGGAGACAGAGAACGGGGACACCAAGUCCAGAAAGAUGGAAGACUAUGAAGUCAUAGAGCAAAUUGGAAGAGGGGCUUUUGGCUCUGCCUUCCUCGUUCUUCACAAGUCCGAGAAAAAGAGGUAUGUGCUGAAAAAGAUUCGGUUGGCCAAACAGACAGAGAAGUUCAAACGUACUGCACACCAAGAGAUGAACCUGAUUGCAAAACUGAAUAACCCAUACAUUGUGGAGUACAAAGAUGCUUGGGUGGAGAAGGAGGACCAUAUAUGCAUUAUAACAGGCUAUUGUGAAGGAGGUGACAUGGCAGAUAACAUAAAGAAAGCUCGAGGGUCAUUUUUUCCAGAGGAGAAAGUCUGCAAAUGGCUGACUCAGUUGUUGAUAGCUGUUGACUACUUGCACUCUAAUCGUGUAAUCCAUAGAGAUCUUAAGUGUUCCAACAUAUUCCUCACUAAAGACAACAACAUUCGGCUUGGUGACUUUGGUCUUGCAAAGCGACUUAAUGCAGAAGACCUUACUUCCUCGGUUGUUGGAACUCCAAAUUACAUGUGUCCUGAGCUCCUCGCUGAUAUACCUUAUGGCUAUAAAUCAGAUAUGUGGUCUCUUGGUUGCUGCAUGUUUGAGAUUGCUGGACAUCAACCUGCAUUUCGUGCUCCAGACAUGGCUGGACUUAUCAAUAAAAUAAACAGAUCCUGCAUUUCUCCACUGCCAAUUGUUUAUUCUUCCACACUGAAACAACUUAUCAAGAGCAUGCUUCGAAAAAAUCCAGAACAUAGGCCAACCGCGGCUGAAUUGUUAAGGCAUCCACUUUUACAACCUUAUGUUCUUCGUUGUCAUAAUGCAUCCUCUAAUAUUCUUCCAGUAUAUCCCAUAGUUAAUUCAAAGGAUAAAACAAGAAGAUCUAAUAAAUCUAGUGGUGGCAAGGACCAUAAGGACAAAGAAGCAAGCUUAGUAAAUCGUUUGGAACGGAUUCAUCCAAUUGAGGGAAAUGGAGAUAUACUCGUAAGCAAUCUUCCAAAUGAUGCUGUUACCAUCUCAACCAGUGCAGAAGACAAUAUUGAGACCAGGAUGGUUGAUCUUACCAGCUACAUAGUAGAAUCUUCUACUAGUAUUAGCGGCUCAAAAGAUGGGUCAACAACCUCUGAAUCAACUAUUUGCAGUGUGUGCAAGGAGGACUUUAAAGGUAGACCUGCAAGGGAAACGAAUGACAACGAAAUCUGUUUAAAGAAUUCACAAGAAUCACUGCAUGAGGAACAGAUAUUUGCUGCUAAACAUUUUCAUAAAUUAGAAGAUGGCAUUAAAGCAGUGACCCCAGAAGUUGAAGACGGUUCUUGCAAUGAAGGUUUGGACAAUGCUGAAGCACCAAGGGAAGAUUCGAGCCUUGACAUCUCUGGUAAAUCAACAAUGUCCAGUGCAGGAAGUAGCAGCACUGAUAAAGAUAAGUCCAUCAACGAGGAAAAGCCAUCACUAACUGUGAAUCCUAUUACAGUCGAACAUGAUACCGAAUCUAGAAACCACUUGAAUGUAUUUACAGAAGGCUCACAUAUGAACGGCUUGACAUCUGAUUGUAAUGAUGCACUUCUAGUUAAGGAUGAUGACACAGCUAACAGACCCAUUCCCUCCACGCAUAAAGAUGAUAAAAUGGUGGAGGGUGAUCAGACAAGUGGCGUUUCAUUGAGUGUAAUAACAGAAGUGGUCGGUGACGAGACAAAUCUGUUGGAUAGUCCCUGCCAACAAAGAGCUGAUGCUCUGGAAUCUCUGCUCGAAUUAUGUGCUCAGCUACUCAAGCAAGAUAAACUUGAAGAGCUUGCUGGGGUUCUGAGACCAUUUGGAAAAGAAGCUGUAUCAUCAAGAGAAACAGCAAUAUGGCUGGCAAAAAGCCUCAUUUCUGCCCAAAAAUUUAAUCCUCAGACCUAGUUACCAGAGGUUCUGGUUAUAAGUUUAUACAUUAUUGUAAGAAACGUGUAAUUCAAAUGUUACAUGAGUUUGUUCCGUUCGAGAUUGUUGCAUGGUUGAAGAUUGGAGACACGAAGAUUGCUUGCCAUAUCUUCUUUCUUGGUUGUGCACCCUCUUUUCUACACAUAAGGCUUAGUGGAACAAGGCAAAGAAAGACAAGACCGAGGCACCGAGCAAGGAGCCAACAAGGGGCACGGUGGCUCCACUGACCGGGCCGGGAGCCGGGGCAGGAACUUCGGUGGCAGCCGCUACUGCGCUCAUGGAGGCGGCGGCGAUGAGGAUGGCGCAAGUGACCUUCUUCAUGUCCAUGAUGAGUUGAAUAUGAUUUGUUUUGGACCCGCUUGUGUGGUGAUGAAACAGACAAAUAUGUUGUUUUAUUGCCUUAGCUUGCAGGUCUGAGGUACAACGAUGGGUCUUGCAUGGUAUUUAAAAGAAGCGUCUUUCAGUUAUUUUGGGAAAACUCUUGUUUUAGUUUGUGAUGGUCUUGCAUGGUUUCAGGGCUUGUCGUAGCUUUCGGCU